rnacentral:rRNA from 1 species
UACGGAGGGUGCAAGCGUUAUCCGGAUUUACUGGGUUUAAAGGGUGCGUAGGCGGAUAGGUAAGUCAGGGGUGAAAUCUUCGAGCUUAACUCGGAAACUGCCUUUGAUACUAUUUAUCUUGAAUAUUGUGGAGGUAAGCGGAAUAUGUCAUGUAGCGGUGAAAUGCUUAGAUAUGACAUAGAACACCUAUUGCGAAGGCAGCUUACUACGCAUAUAUUGACGCUGAGGCACGAAAGCGUGGGGAU